GUGCGAUCCUGCAGCAAUGCAGGAUAGCGGCAAACGGGUGAGUAACACGUGGGGAACUUGCCCUACAGCCCGGGAUAACAUCGCGAAAGUGGUGCUAAUACCGGACGUCUUCAUUUGGCCGCAUGGCUGAAUGAAGAAAGGUGGCCUCGACCGAAAGGUUGCUACCAUUGUAGGAUGGCCCCGCGUCCCAUCAGCUUGUUGGUAGGGUAACGGCCUACCAAGGCGUAUGACGGGUAGCUGGCCUGAGAGGGUGGUCAGCCACACUGGGACUGAGACACUGCCCAGACUCCUACGGGAGGCUGCAGUCGAGAAUCUUUGGCAAUGGGCGAAAGCCUGACCAUGCGACGCCGCGUGCGGGAUGAAGGCUUUCGGGUCGUAAACCGCUGUCACGAGGAGCGAAAGCUUGUCGGGCAAACAGCCUGAUAGGCUUGACGGUACCUCGAGAGGAAGCCACGGCUAACUCCGUGCCAGCAGCCGCGGUAAGACGGAGGU
rnacentral:rRNA from 1 species